UGAUGAUGAAAAUGAUGAUGAUGAUGAUGAAAAUGAUGAUGAUGAUGAUCAUCAUCAUCGUCAUCAUCAUCGUCGUCAUCAUCAUCAUCGCCAUCA
rnacentral:pre_miRNA from 1 species